rnacentral:rRNA from 1 species
AGCGAACGCUGGCGGCAGGCCUAACACAUGCAAGUCGAACGAUCCUUCGGGAUAGUGGCGGACGGGUGAGUAACACGUGGGAACGUACCUUUAGGUUCGGGAUAACUCAGGGAAACUUGAGCUAAUACCGGAUGUGCCCUUCGGGGGAAAGAUUUAUCGCCUUUAGAGCGGCCCGCGUUAGAUUAGCUAGUUGGUGAGGUAAAGGCUCACCAAGGCUCCGAUCUAUAGCUGGUCUGAGAGGAUGAUCAGCCACACUGGGACUGAGACACGGCCCAGACUCCAAGGGGAGGAAGAAGGGGGGAAUCUUGGGCAAGGGGCGAAAGCCUGACGCAGCCAUGCCGCGUAAAUGAUGAAGGUCUUAGGAUUAUAAAAUUCUUUUAGCAGGGACGAUAAUGACGGUACCUGCAGAAAAAGCCCCGGCUAACUUCGUGCCAGCCGCCGCCGUAA